GAUGAACGCUGGCGGCGUGCCUAAUACAUGCAAGUCGAGCGAACAGACGAGGAGCUUGCUCCUCUGACGUUAGCGGCGGACGGGUGAGUAACACGUGGAUAACCUACCUAUAAGACUGGGAUAACUUCGGGAAACCGGAGCUAAUACCGGAUAAUAUAUUGAACCGCAUGGUUCAAUAGUGAAAGACGGUUUUGCUGUCACUUAUAGAUGGAUCCGCGCCGCAUUAGCUAGUUGGUAAGGUAACGGCUUACCAAGGCAACGAUGCGUAGCCGACCUGAGAGGGUGAUCGGCCACAUUGGAACGGAGCCACGGUCCAGACUCCUACGGGAGGCAGCAGUAGGGAAUGUUCCGCAAUGGGCGAAAGCCUGGCGGAGCAACGCCGCGUGAGUGAUGAAGGUCUUCGGAUCGUAAAACUCUGUUAUUAGGGAAGAACAAAUGUGUAAGUAACUAUGCACAUCUUGACGGUACCUAAUCAGAAAGCAACGGCUAACUACGUG
rnacentral:rRNA from 1 species